rnacentral:rRNA from 1 species
UACGUAGGGGGCAAGCGUUGUCCGGAAUCAUUGGGCGUAAAGCGCGUGUAGGCGGCCCAGUAAGUCCGCUCUGAAAGCCCGGGGCUUAACCCCGGGAGGCGGGUGGAUACUGCUGGGCUCGAGUCCGGAAGAGGCGAGUGGAAUUCCCGGUGUAGCGGUGAAAUGCGCAGAGUAUCGGGAGGAACACCAAUGGCGAAGGCAGCUCGCUGGGACGUGACUGACGCUGAGACGCGAAAGCGUGGGGAGCAAACAGG